GAUGUCGAGUGCCACCAUGUCCCCGAGGUCACCCUUUCUGCUGUUGGGAGAGCAUGAGGUGGAUGGAGAGGAUCCCCAGCCAUCUGCAGGCAAAAGGGACUGGCACAACUGCGAUUUUUCUCCAGCUCUCUCAAGGUGGACUUUCAGGGUACCAUGGGUAAUGUGCCAGCUCUCCUGCUGGAGUGUUUGUCUUCUGCUAUAUUUGAACAUCAAGAGUAAAACUAAAGUCAGGGAAUAACUCCUGUCAGCAGCAAGGUCCCGACUGAAGUGGCAGCUGCAGUUGUUCCUGUGGUGUGGGCCAGUGGAGUUCCAGGAGAGUGGAAGAGGGCAGAACCUGUAGGUAUUACCCCUGAUGUGGGAUCUAUAUGGGUAAGGCAAACCCAGUAUCCUUUAAAAUCAGAAUUCCAGCUUGGAUUGGUUGCAGUAACAACUAAAUUGGCUCAUCCUGGUUUGCUUGUAGGAUGUGAAUGCAAGAACCUGCCAAGGAACCAAUGGCCAAGAUGAUUGAUGAGUGCAGGACCUGAGAGAACCACCUUGAAUGACAACCUUAGGUUUAAAAGAUGGCUGUUGCUUUUGAAGGAGAAAAUCUGGAAAGCAGGAAGGAAGAAAAGAAGUCACCUGACUCUUCCCUGAGCCCCAGACAGCCCAUGAACUGCCUUCCUGGGAAUGGUAGGACGGGGUGGACUCUGGAUUGCUCCCUCUGGAUGUGUGGCUCUCCCCUCAGGAACUCCAGGAACUCCUGGUGCCGCCUGGGCCGAUGGAUUGGACGCCCCAGCCCCUCCGUUCCUGCCCAGCCACUGGGUCCGUGUCCAGUGGUGGCACUGCCAGCCCUGCAGUGGGAUGUAGCCUGGAAACUGCACAGAACUGAGCCAAGGAAUUUAAAGGGACCAACCAAGGGAGGUGAAGAAAGAAGGAAGAAGGGAAGUGAGGCAGCAGCCAAGCAGCACCAAGUGCCUGUGUAAGCAGGUGAGUUGUGUUGAGGUUCCUAAGGCAGGCACUGAGGACUUUGAGGGCUCCAGACAGAGCAGAGCUGCGAAGGCCCUCGGUGAAGUCCCUUGGAAACCUUCUAAGGGUAGGUGUGUAUGGUAGUAAGUGUUGGAUAAUGCCCUGAAUGUGGAACAGGAAUGCAGAGAACAAAAAUGAAUCCUCCUGUCAUGCUGCCAUAUCAGCUGCAGUGGAGAUAGCUCUGUGUGCCCUUUGGGAGCUGAUUGCCAGGACACCUGGUGGGGUGGAAUGAUUCAAGAGCACAGGAAUAAAAGGUUGCCUGGCUUCUAAACCUCUCCA
rnacentral:lncRNA from 1 species